UACGUAGGGUGCAAGCGUUGUCCGGAAUUAUUGGGCGUAAAGAGCUCGUAGGCGGCUUGUCACGUCGGGUGUGAAAGCCCGGGGCUUAACCCCGGGUCUGCAUUCGAUACGGGGCUAGCUAGAGUGUGGUAGGGGGAGAUCGGAAUUCCUGGUGUAGCGGUGAAAUGCGCAGAUAUCAGGAGGAACACCGGUGGCGAAGGCGGAUCUCUGGGCCAUUACUGACGUGAGGAGCGAAAAGCGUGGGGGAGC
rnacentral:rRNA from 1 species